GACAGAGGAGCCAAGCGUUGUCCGGACUGACUGGGCGUAAAGCGCCCGCAGGCGGUCGUGCGCGUGGGGUGUGAAAGCGCUCGGCUUAACUGAGCGAGGCCAUCCCAUACGGCGCGACUCGAGCCGUCCAGAGGCCGGUGGAAUUGCCGGUGUAGUGGUGAAAUGCGUAGAGAUCGGUAGGAACACCAGUGGCGAAGGCGGUCUCCUGGGGCAUUCUUGACGCUGAGGCGCGAAAGCUGGGGGAGCAAACGGG
rnacentral:rRNA from 1 species